rnacentral:tRNA from 1 species
AAGGUUUUAAGUUAACUAAACUAGUAACCUUCAAAGUUGAAAAUAUUGAUUUAAAUUUAAACCUUA